rnacentral:rRNA from 1 species
AGAGUUUGAUCCUGGCUCAGAAUCAACGCUGGCGGCGUGCCUAACACAUGCAAGUCGCGCGCGAAAGGGGGGCAACCCCCAAGUAGAGCGGCGAACGGGUGAGUAACGCGUGGGUGAUCUUCCUUCGAGUGGGGAAUAACACCGGGAAACUGGUGCUAAUACCGCAUGACAUUCCUGGUUCAUUCCAGGUAUCAAAGCCGGGGACCGCAAGGCCUGGCGCUUGAAGAUGAGCCCGCGUCCGAUUAGCUAGUUGGCGGGGUAACGGCCCACCAAGGCUUCGAUCGGUAGCCGGCCUGAGAGGGCGGACGGCCACACUGGGACUGAGACACGGCCCAGACUCCUACGGGAGGCAGCAGUGGGGAAUUUUUCGCAAUGGGGGAAACCCUGACGAAGCAACGCCGCGUGGAGGAUGAAGGCCUUCGGGUCGUAAACUCCUGUCGACCGGGAAGAAUGCACCUGACCUAAUACGUCGGCGUGUUGACUGUACCGGUGGAGGAAGCCACGGCUAACUCUGUGCCAGCAGCCGCGGUAAUACAGAGGUGGCAAGCGUUGUUUCGGAAUUACUGGGCGUAAAAGGGCGCGUAGGCGGCCCGUCAAGUCCCGUGUGAAAGCCCCCGGCUCAACCGGGGAACGG